rnacentral:rRNA from 1 species
GAACCAGCCAAGUCGCGUGAGGGAUGACGGUCCUAUGGAUUGUAAACCUCUUUUGUCAGGGAGCAAAGGGCGCCACGUGUGGCGCUUUGCGAGUACCUGAAGAAAAAGCAUCGGCUAACUCCGUGCCAGCAGCCGCGGUAAUACGGAGGAUGCGAGCGUUAUCCGGAUUUAUUGGGUUUAAAGGGUGCGCAGGCGGAAUGUCAAGUCAGCGGUAAAAUUUCGGGGCUCAACCCCGUCGUGCCGUUGAAACUGGCGUUCUUGAGUGAGCGAGAAGUAUGCGGAAUGCGUGGUGUAGCGGUGAAAUGCAUAGAUAUCACGCAGAACUCCGAUUGCGAAGGCAGCAUACCGGCGCUCAACUGACGCUCAUGCACGAAAGCGUGGGUAUCGAACAGGAUUAGAUACCCUGGUAGUCCACGCAGUAAACGAUGAAUACUAACUGUCCGGGCAGAAUGAUGCCUGG